AUUGACCGCUGGCGGCAGGCCUAACACAUGCAAGUCGAGCGAGAGGCGGACGGGGGAGUAAAGUAUGGGGACUGCCCGAUAAAGGGGGAGAACUACAGGAAAAGGUGAGUAAUACAGCAGACUAUCGGAUGACCCAUAUGGGAUUAGCUAGGAGGUGAGGUAAUGGAGCACCUAGGCGACGAUCCCUAGCGGGUCUGAGAGGAUGAUCAGCCACACUGGGACUGAGACACGGCCCAGACUCCUACGGAGGCAGCAGUGGGGAAUAUUGCACAAUGGGCGCAAGCCUGAUGCAGCCAUGCCGCGUGUAUGAAGAAGGCCCUAGGGUUGUAAAGUACUUUCAGUCGGGAGGCGUUACCGACAGAAGAAGCACCGGCUAACUCCGUGCCAGCCGCCGCGGUAAUUC
rnacentral:rRNA from 1 species